UACGUAGGGUGCAAGCGUUAAUCGGAAUUACUGGGCGUAAAGCGUGCGCAGGCGGUUUUGUAAGUCUGACGUGAAAUCCCCAGGCUUAACCUGGGAACUGCAUCCGAUACUGGAUGGCUUGAAUCCGGGAGAGGGAUGCAGAAUUCCAGGUGUAGCGGUGAAAUGCGUAGAUAUCUGGAGGAAUACCGGUGGCGAAGGCGGCAUCCUGGACCGGCAUUGACGCUGAUGAGCGAAAGCCAGGGGAGCAAACGGG
rnacentral:rRNA from 1 species